rnacentral:lncRNA from 1 species
UUUUAAGUGUCUUACAUUUUUAAAACUAAGGUUUUUUUCAACAUGGUAGAAUGACCUAUUAAUUAUCUUCUGUUUUGAGGUAAACAGGGAGAGAUGAGAAGACCUGAUAAAUCUCUUUUCCCUGUCUGCUAGCCAGAAGGAAGUAAUGCUUAAAUCUAUUAGAGAGGCCUGGGCUGUGAUUUACCGGAUAAUCUUCACUGCUGAUCUCUGUAUUCCUGGUCUUGUCCAGAAUAAAACAUGGUGGAGACUCAAUCCUAGAAAAGCCAUCUUAGAUGAGACUCACUAAAACAGAGGGACAUGAGUAGGAUAUAAAAUAAGACCAGAAAAUUUAGGUCAUAGGAUUCUCUCUGGGUCAUCCACUAACCUGCAUUACAACCACUGGCACAGAGAAGAAUAGAGGGGAGAAAAUUUGAUAGAAUGAAACACGGGCAGGAGGAUCACUAAAUUUCAUUGCCUUGCUGGGGAAUGCUGAAAUAACUGAGCAAGUGGAAUGGUCUGAUUCAAUUUGACAAUGUUUUAUAGACCUAUUCUUGGGCACAGAAAGAUUCAGAGAUCUGUGAAUCAGGAGAUUCAAAUUAAAUUCUAUCCUUUCCAUAUCCAGAAGAAAAGCGACUGAUCAAACUUGGUUUGGGCAUAGCAUUUGGAAGAGAAAAAGGAGGAGACCUAGAUAAAGGGAAGAAAUAAUGGGGUGGAUGAAUUGCACAAGAGAACAACUUAAAGCCAAAGAAAGGAAUUUAAUGCUUAUUUUUGGCAUAAUUUGGGACCUCUUCGAGAUAUUUCACUUUAAUAAGCUGUGGCAAUAUACAAAGUAAUUAAUAUAAAUGAUAAAUGCAAAAAUUAACAUAAUGUAGAAUGAAAAGAGUAGAACAAACAAUAAUAUAUGGACUUAUCAAGCUUUAAUUAUUAAAGUAUCAUUGAAAAAUCACUGUAAUAAUUGCAUGUUCCAGUAAUUGCUAUAAUCAUUGCACAAUACUGUAAGAAAUGUUAUUGUGUGCUACAGCUAGUUC